UCUUGUCUUACAGAUGAGGAAACUGAGGCACCGAGUGGCUGAGUCCUGUGCCCAAGGCUGCCCGCUAUUCAGCAGAAGAGCCAACGUCUGUGCUUUUGACCCCUCUGCUUCCCGCCUCCCUGUGACCACUUUCGUUCUGUCUUCCCUUCGCUCUGUUGAGUUUACCUUGUCAAGCCUCCCUGACUCCAGCAUGUUUCAUCCUCAAAUUCCACUGGCUGGAUUCCAUAGCACCAGCACCGUGUCUAUCUUGAAAAGACUGCCAAGAUGGCCCCUCUUGUUGCGAAAGACCAUCCAAGGAAGAAACCACAGACUCUCAAUCGUCUAUUUUAGAGCCCACUCCUUUGGGAAGUCCUUCCUAAUGUCUAAAAUUCACUUUGCUUCAAUGUGUUUUCGCUGCAACCUCUGCCUCCUGGGUUCAAGUGAUUCUCAAGUCUCAGCCUCCCGAGUAGCUGGGAUUACAGGUGCUCACCACCACACCUGGCUAAUUUUUGUAUUUUUAGUAGAGAUAGGGUUUCACCAUGUUGGCCAGGCUGAUCUCGAACUCCUGGCCUCACAUGAUAUGCCAGCCUUGGCCUCCCAAAGUGCUGGGAUUACAGGCGUGAGUCAGUGCACCCGGGCUUGUUUACUGUUUUUGUGGCCCAGUAGGAUCCAAGCCUAGUUGACCAAGGACUAUCAUUUUCUGGCAAACAAAAUUUCUCAUGCCCCUUUCUCAUGCCCCGUUCACAGAGGGGAGGCUACCUAAUGAAUUUUUAAAGCACUGGAGUCUGGAGUUCAAGUACCCACUCUGCCACUUACUGGCUGUGUGAUGUGACCUUGGGCAAGUUACUUUGGGGGCUACAUGGCAGCUCUAGCUCCUUCCCCUCACCCCAGCUCCAGUCUCCCCAACAGGGGUGAGACUUUGUCUCCCAGGAGCAGGAGGGAGGUGAUUUGAAGGAGACGAGAAGAACUGCUCACUCUGCCCAGAGUAACUGGUGGUAAUCCCGCA
rnacentral:lncRNA from 1 species